rnacentral:pre_miRNA from 1 species
UGAUAUGUUUGAUAUAUUAGGUUGUUAUUCAGUCCCAACUAUAUAUCAAACAUAUUCCUA